CAAACCAAACAAAAUUGUGUCAAAUCGAUUGUAUCUAUUAUAUCUACUCUGGACCAUUGACUGUGCCAAACGCCAAUGAAAGUCGCCACUUCCCUCGCGGUGUGGGAGAACGCGCCUGUUUCCAACCGAUACAAUAUCAGUGAUUUCAAUAUCGUCGCGGAUUUCGAUUUCCGCAUACCGCUACGGCGAAACACUUCCGGGAAUUCUAUCGGAACGGUACCUGCGUAAAGUGAUG